rnacentral:lncRNA from 1 species
UUGAUGGACUGAAACCUCUACAAACUGUGAGCCAAAUAAACCUUUCCUCCUUUAACUUUGGGCAUCAGGUAUUUUGUCUCAGCAAUGAGAAAAAUAACUGAGACAGUAACAUCUAGACUUCAACAUGCAUCUAUUUUUAAAACUGAAAUUAAUGGACAGACUAAAAACAUCCUCUAAGGGCAAUAGAAAAUACAUACUGAAUAAAACAAGCCAGAGUUGGGAAAGAUGCUCUCCCAGAAUGACAAAAUCAGCAAUAUCAGUUUUACCUAGAUGUUUUUCCCUUUGCAGACUUAGUUAUGUAGUUAUCUUAAUAUUCAUAAAUAGGGUGCCAAACUUAAGAACUACGUAGAAAUUAUUAACCUAUAUUUAAGAGUACAUUUUUGCUUCUUGUGUGAGAGUAAUUUAUAGAAGAUGAUGCUCCCUCUGCGAAUAACUAGAAAAAUUAAAUAAAGUACAGAAAUCUUAUAUUUCAAGGCCUCAGAAAGCUGUGUAAGCAGCAAGACCCUGAAAGGAAAGGGAGCUCAUUGAGAGAAGCCUGACUUUGGCAAUCAAGUUUCCCCUGAAGGUGAGCACAGCAUGACCUGCCAGUUCCUAUAGAAAUUCAUACAUAACUGAACCAAAAGACAGGCAAGAAAGCUCAUAUGUUUAUUACUUGCAACAAUACCAACUUGAAAACUACCCAAACAUCUUUGAGCAGCAGAGUGGAUGAAUAAAUUGAGACAUAUUUCCAUACAAGACAUUCAGAAUGAAAUAAUUACAGCUGUAUGAAACCCCGUGGAUGAAUCUCAUAAAGGUAACACCGAAUAUCCUGUUAAAUAGUUGGAAAUCCUGCAAUUUAAUCUGUAGUGUUAGAAGUCAAGAUAAUGGUAACUUUGGAUCUUUGAUCAUGGUGAAAAUAGGAGUGGGGAAGAGGUUCUUUUACUAAGUCCUGGAAAUGUUCUUGUUUCUGACACUGACUGUCUAUAUUCCCUUUGUGGAAAUUCAGCAAAUAGAGUUUGUGUGUGUGUGUGUGUGUGUGUGUGUGUGUGUGUGGUAUUAGUGCUUUUCCUCAUGUAUGUCACAGCUUCCCAACAUUCUUACUUCAAAAAAUUUAUGAGAAAGAAUGUCUCUUGUACUGGUUUUCUGAUAUCCUUGGAGCAAAUCUAUCUCACAGAAGCGCCUUAGAUUAUCAGAGAGUGACUGGAGGCAAGAGAAUGUGAUCACUCAGAAUCUAAAUUGGGUAGCAGUGCUGGAAGGUGGUAGAACAUUUGAAAGAAUUUAAACCUAAGACAAUCUGCCAUCAGAGUGCAUGCACCUUUAGUUGUUUUCUCUGAGAUUCUCUGCCGGCCAACACCAGCAUGACUGCUCAUUUUGAACAGUAUCCUUACCCACCCUGGGCCCCACUGCUCUGAGAGCCUUUUGUUGGCCACUUCCCAGGCCCACUGUGCAGCCACUGCCCCCUACACACACCAGGUGGCAGGACUGAGAUACUCUUCUGCAGCAGUGGAUCCAUCUUUACCCCUUUCUUCG